rnacentral:rRNA from 1 species
AUUGAACGCUGGCGGCAUGCCUUACACAUGCAAGUCGAACGGUAACAGGUCUUCGGAUGCUGACGAGUGGCGAACGGGUGAGUAAUACAUCGGAACGUGCCCGAGAGUGGGGGAUAACGAGGCGAAAGCUUUGCUAAUACCGCAUACGAUCUCAGGAUGAAAGCAGGGGACCGCAAGGCCUUGCGCUCACGGAGCGGCCGAUGGCAGAUUAGGUAGUUGGUGGGAUAAAAGCUUACCAAGCCGACGAUCUGUAGCAGGUCUGAGAGGACGACCAGCCACACUGGGACUGAGACACGGCCCAGACUCCUACGGGAGGCAGCAGUGGGGAAUUUUGGACAAUGGGCGCAAGCCUGAUCCAGCCAUGCCGCGUGCAGGAUGAAGGCCUUCGGGUUGUAAACUGCUUUUGUACGUAACGAAAAGACUCUGGUUAAUACCUGGGGUCCAUGACGGUACCGUAAGAAUAAGCACCGGCUAACUACGUACCAGCCGCCGCGGUAACAC